CGGCAUUCUAGUGGGGAGUUCACCACUGAGCUGGAGGCCUUGUAAGCUAGCGCCACAACACAAUGUCGCUGCUUCAGGCUGAAUAGGUACGGUAGGAUUGACCUGCUUUGGCUGACGUGCUAAUGAGAGCGCAUCAGGCUAGCCAACCACACCUCAAGCGAUGACUAUGGUAAAACGUCAGUUUGGUUUUUCAUUAGGCCAGAAACACACGCUGCAAAAUACACACACACACACACACCCUUCAUCUAGCGUGCCAAAAUUGCAUUAUUGCUGUAUGGUGAAAAACACGCAAGCCAGAGUUCAAUAUUGCGUCUCCUACAGCCAAAUGAUCAGAUGCAUUCCAUACCGGCAGCGCGGGGAAAAGAGACGCAAACUAUCCCUCCACGGAAAAAUACAGGGAUGAGAGGGAGGCGGUGCUACCCUGGAACCCAAAGAAUUCACCACGUGUGUGUAAUUUAACUAGUGCCCAACACAUUUCGGGAGCGCCACGUCAAGCCACUAACCGCAAGAGGAGGCGACCACAGUGCUUAAAUAGAUUAGCGCAGAGUUGAAUAUCAAUGUAUUGGAACCGACGGCCAAUACUGGGCUUGUAAUCUAUCCACGGACCUCUUAUCUGAUCGGUCCAUUGGCCGCCCUGCAAAAUGUGAUGAAAUGACUGAAGCUGCCAAUCCCUGAACGCCCGUCCCGUUCCAAGUUCUCAUGAAUGCCCUGCAGGACGCGUAGCUGGAACAGCACACAGGGCGAUAAGCCGCUCAUCUGCUGCUGAGCCCCCGGUACACACACGCAUACCUCUCUUUGCCCCCCCCCCCCCGAAAGAUCCACGCUGCCCUGUGGUCAUGGGGCAGGAGUCUGAUCAUGAAGCGCCUUAUCGGGAGUUCUUCGGAUGCCUAAACUAAUAUCCCCCCCCCUCUCUCUCUCUCUCUCUGCAGAUCAGCAAUGGUGUCUGGAAUGCGGGGCGUACGUCUGUCUCCCUGCGAGCGCCCGCGGAAUGCUGGGGAGGGGGGCGUGGCCGGCGGACGGAGGAGGAAGGGGGAGGAGUAGUGCGUGGCCGCCGCCGGGUGUCGGUCGUUGUGAUCCAUCCCACGGCGACCGCGGCGGAGGAGGACCAACGCUGUCUGGGCUGAGGGAGGCUAGAUGGGGCCGGACGAGCCUCACGGACUCAGACCUCCUACCAGGACGCCCCCCCCACCACCAAUCAGGAGGCCCCCCCUCCUACCAGGGCGCCCCUCUUGGGCUUCCACCUGAUGUGUUUACCCCGGGGGGCUCCUGUGUAACUUUCCCAUGUAGUGACCGUGUAACCAUGCCCACCGCUGAGGGCCGACGGAACACCAGCCGACUCUCAAGCAGCACGGUGACAGCAGAUGGCACCGACGUGUGUGUGUGUGUGUGUGUGUGUGUGUGUGCGUGCGCGGGCGUCCGGGUAUUAUGGUGUGUUCCUGAUACCUCGGACGCCAGACUUCGGAGGCGAAAGUCGAAGAUCUCCCAGCUUUCUUGUGGCAUUGCUCGAAGGCACGCCCCCUUUUUGUCUUCAUCUUUCGAAAAUCUGAGAGUAAGCCAAGAGCAGUGAUGACGCUCUCAACAAAAUGGCUGCGCCAUUUUGCUCAGGAACACACCAUUAGGACCAGGGCCUGUUGACCGCGCGCUGGUACGUGUCAAGGACUAAAAGGGAAGUGUCCCUCUCUCUCUAUCUCUCUCGCCCUCUUUCUUACCUCUGUUUUGCGGGGUAUAGACCUGGGGUCACCAACCAGGCACCAGGGCACCCGCAAGGACCAUAUGAGGCGCCCCCAGGCCUGUUAGCACAUCUCAUCCUUGAACAACUCUUUCCCACCAAUUUUAAGUAAUUGUUGAUAAUUAUUGUGAGCAAUCCUUAACCUGAUCAAUGUCUUCACAUAGAUGAUUGUCAUUAAACAUUAAUAAUGAUAUAUAACUGAAGGCAAACUGAGCAAAUUUGUUAUUUCAGAAGGGUAUCAAACUGGGUGCCCCUUCGUAUGAAUCAGUACCCAUGAAGUAGCUCUCAGGUUCAAAAAGGUUGGUGACCCCUGGUGUAGACGAUGUGGGGAGGUUCUCACUGCGGGGCCCCAGUCUACUGCUGAACCAACAGACUACUCCCCCCCCCUCGCUCCCCCUGGGAAGACUGGGCUCAAAGUGUGCACCAGUGCUCACCUCACGCAUGUUUUAGUGUUUUUAUUACCUGUUUGGUGGCACAUGCGACCAGGAAGUGCUUUUGUUUGUUCUUGCACACCGGCUGUUACUGGAACAAAGCGCUGACCUCGGGGCGUCGUCUCGGCACUCGCACCUUCAUCUGACUCCGGGACAGUCUCUCGUUACCCAGGUGCAAAGGGCUGUGCUGAAACUGCUGACGGGAGCUGAACAUGGCCACGGCAGGGCUGAGAAUAGAACCAGGACCAAGAAGUGGAUGCAUUUUUUUUUUUUGGGGGGGGACGAAAAAAGGAGCAAUCUUCCUCCUUCCGCUUUAUUUUUAGACGGUUGGACUCCGGCUUCCUUCAAUUUUGGUCAGCCUAAGUGUGCGUCUUCUUCCUCGACAUAAAACACGCUUGGCACAGGGGAGAGUGUGGGGGUUCGAGUCCUGCUCGGACCGGAACGCUAAGUGAUGUUCUUGACCGCCAUGUUUUUAAUGUGCAAAGUGUCUCAGGGUUCUGUAUAGUUGUUGUUUUGUCCGUUUGUCUUGUUUUUGCUGAAGGUCGCCUAACUUGUGUCUGUUUUUGUAUAAUACGAGUCAUUUUGACGAUACUUUUUUAUGAAUGUACUUUGUAAAUAGAAAACGAGAGGCAUUUUUUUUGUCCAAGCCUUGUUCCACUAUUUUAUUCCAGUUUAAAUAUAUGUAUAUGUAGGGGUCCAAUUUGCCAAAAUAUAAUGUCAUUUUCUGUGAUUAUAGUGGACAUAAAGGACCAAGAAAUGUGGCAAAGCUUGUGCACAUUUUCUAUAAGCUAGUCAAUGUUGUUUUGAGUAGAGUACUUUGAAUAGAAGACAUUCUGUAAAUAAUUGUACAUACCUUUUUGUAGAAGCCUAUAAUUUGCACAUUUAGUUCAAACUCUUAAUAUUUGUCUUAAUUUUGUAUCACUGUCUGAGAAGAUUAAAAACUCAAAACCAA
ensembl:lncRNA